UACGUAGGUGGCAAGCGUUGUCCGGAUUUACUGGGCGUAAAGAGCGCGCAGGCGGUCGUUCAAGUCGCGUGUGAAAGCCCCCGGCUCAACUGGGGAGGGUCACGCGAUACUGAUCGACUGGAAGGCAGGAGAGGGUAGUGGAAUUCCGGGUGUAGCGGUGGAAUGCGUAGAGAUCCGGAAGAACACCAGUGGCGAAGGCGGCCCGCUGGGCAGUGGCUGACGCUGAGGCGCGACAGCGUGGGGAGCGAACCGG
rnacentral:rRNA from 1 species